rnacentral:rRNA from 1 species
GAUGAACGCUGGCGGCGUGCUUAACACAUGCAAGUCGAACGGUGAAGGCGGAGCUUGCUCUGCUGGAUCAGUGGCGAACGGGUGAGUAACACGUGAGCAAUCUGCCCCUGACUCUGGGAUAAGCGCUGGAAACGGCGUCUAAUACUGGAUACGAGCUGCGAAGGCAUCUUCAGCAGCUGGAAAGAAUUUCGGUCUGGGAUGAGCUCGCGGCCUAUCAGCUUGUUGGUGAGGUAAUGGCUCACCAAGGCGUCGACGGGUAGCCGGCCUGAGAGGGUGACCGGCCACACUGGGACUGAGACACGGCCCAGACUCCUACGGGAGGCAGCAGUGGGGAAUAUUGCACAAUGGGCGAAAGCCUGAUGCAGCAACGCCGCGUGAGGGACGACGGCCCUCGGGUUGUAAACCUCUUUUAGCAGGGAAGAAGCGAAAGUGACGGUACCUGCAGAAAAAGCGCCGGCUAACUACGUG